ACUAAUUGUAUUGUUUGUGUCAUGUAUAUACCGCCAUACCGGUGAUGAGAAACAAGGGUGGAAAGAUGUCUUAUUAUGAGUUUUUCGUGCUAGUAUUGUUACUUGCAGUUACUCUCAUCACCAAUAUUGCUGCAGGGAAUCCAAAGCAUCAACGACAUGCGCAACCCAAUGGUCUGAUCAGUUACCAGCCACCGACCAUUAAUGCUCCACAGAUCAAACCUAUUGGUUUCAAUCACGGUCUACCCGGUGGAUCCAACCAACUGCGACCUAGACACAGAAAACUAACCCAAGGAACAAGUCCUAUCUCUCAUCCUGACCAACCUCCUCACAACAAUAACAUCCCACAUACACCACCUAUAGAGCCUCCAGGGCCAAUUCGACCACCUCGGUAAAUGAUGUCAAGAUUUCCUUUGCUGUAUGUUGUGUCCUGGUUUCGUGUGGGGUGGAAGUUUGUUCUUCAUUCUUGUAUGUUUAGCCAGUUUUUUUUUUUUUUGUAAAUUUGGUUGCUGUGUUUGUAGUCCUAUAGAAAAAGGGAAUACGGUGGUGGACACACUUGAAAUAUUUCAAAUUCGUUAUUCUAUCAAUUGUGCUUAAUUAAUUAUGUAUAUGUGAAUUUCAAAUGUAUAUUUGGGUGUUUGUUUCAUCUAGACUCCAUGUAUAUAUUUCAAUCAUUUUUAUUUGUUUAA